AUAUUAAGAAACAAAUACUUAACUAUUUCACAUACAAAGCUGUAAGGACUGUUCUUAACCAGCUUUAUGAGAUGAACCCAACACAGUACCAUUGUUUUUAUGAUUUUGUG